rnacentral:rRNA from 1 species
CCAGACUCCUACGGGAGGCAGCAGUGGGGAAUAUUGGACAAUGGACCAAGAGUCUGAUCCAGCAAUUCUGUGUGCACGAUGAAGUUUUUCGGAAUGUAAAGUGCUUUCGGUUGGGAAGAAAAAAAUGACGGUACCAACAGAAGAAGUGACGGCUAAAUACGUGCCAGCAGCCGCGGUAAUACGUAUGUCGCGAGCGUUAUCCGGAAUUAUUGGGCAUAAAGGGCAUCUAGGCGGCCUGACAAGUCAGGGGUGAAAACCUGCGGCUCAACCGCAGGCCUGCCUUUGAAACUGUUAGGCUGGAGUACCGGAGAGGUGGACGGAACUGCACGAGUAGAGGUGAAAUUCGUAGAUAUGUGCAGGAAUGCCGAUGAUGAAGAUAGUUCACUGGACGGUAACUGACGCUGAAGUGCGAAAGCCGGGGGAGCGAACAGGAUUAGAUACCCUGGUAGUCCCGGCUGUAAACGAUGAUUACUGGGUGUGGGCAGGAAGACUGUCUGUGCCGAAGCGAAUGCGAUAAGUAAUCCGCCUGGGGAGUACGGCCGCAAGGCUGAAACUCAAAGGAAUUGACGGGGGCCCGCACAAG